rnacentral:rRNA from 1 species
ACUUUUCGCCGUGUUUUUACAAAAAACACAGCACUUUGCCAACUCGUAAGAGGAAGUAUAAGGUGUGACGCCUGCCCGGUGCUCGAAGGUUAAGAGGAUGCGUCAGUCGCAAGAUGAAGCGUUGAAUUGAAGCCCGAGUAAACGGCGGCCGUAACUAUAACGGUCCUAAGGUAGCGAAAUUCCUUGUCGGUUAAAUACCGACCUGCAUGAAUGGCGUAACGAGAUGGGAGCUGUCUCAACCAGAGAUUCAGUGAAAUUGUAGUGGAGGUGAAAAUUCCUCCUACCCGCGGCAAGACGGAGAGACCCCGUGGACCUUUACUACAACUUAGCACUGCUAAUGGGAAUAUCAUGCGCAGGAUAGGUGGGAGGCUUUGAAGUAAGGGCUUUGGCUCUUAUGGAG